GACGAACGCUGGCGGCGUGCCUAAUACAUGCAAGUAGAACGCUGAAGGAGGAGCUUGCUUCUCUGGAUGAGUUGCGAACGGGUGAGUAACGCGUAGGUAACCUGCCUGGUAGCGGGGGAUAACUAUUGGAAACGAUAGCUAAUACCGCAUAACAGUAGAUGUUGCAUGACAUUUGCUUAAAAGGUGCAAUUGCAUCACUACCAGAUGGACCUGCGUUGUAUUAGCUAGUUGGUGGGGUAACGGCUCACCAAGGCGACGAUACAUAGCCGACCUGAGAGGGUGAUCGGCCACACUGGGACCGAGACACGGCCCAGACUCCUACGGGAGGCAGCAGUAGGGAAUCUUCGGCAAUGGACGGAAGUCUGACCGAGCAACGCCGCGUGAGUGAAGAAGGUUUUCGGAUCGUAAAGCUCUGUUGUAAGAGAAGAACGAGUGUGAGAGUGGAAAGUUCACACUGUGACGGUAUCUUACCAGAAAGGGACGGCUAACUACGUGCCAGCAGCCGCGGUAAUACGUAGGUCCCGAGCGUUGUCCGGAUUUAUUGGGCGUAAAGCGAGCGCAGGCGGUUAGAUAAGUCUGAAGUUAAAGGCUGUGGCUUAACCAUAGUACGCUUUGGAAACUGUUUAACUUGAGUGCAAGAGGGGAGAGUGGAAUUCCAUGUGUAGCGGUGAAAUGCGUAGAUAUAUGGAGGAACACCGGUGGCGAAAGCGGCUCUCUGGCUUG
rnacentral:rRNA from 1 species